UACGGAGGGUGCGAGCGUUGUUCGGAAUCACUGGGCGUAAAGGGCGCGCAGGCGGUUUGUUUAGUCAGAUGUGAAAGCCCACGGCUUAACCGUGGAAGUGCAUUUGAAACUGGCAGACUUGAGUACCAGAGGGGAAGGUGGAAUUCCCGGUGUAGAGGUGAAAUUCGUAGAUAUCGGGAGGAAUACCGGUGGCGAAGGCGACUUUCUGGCUGGAUACUGACGCUGAGGUGCGAAGGCGUGGGGAGCAAACAGG
rnacentral:rRNA from 1 species